rnacentral:rRNA from 1 species
AACGCUGGCGGCGUGCCUAAUACAUGCAAGUCGUACGCUUCUUUUUCCACCGGAGCUUGCUCCACCGGAAAAAGAAGAGUGGCGAACGGGUGAGUAACACGUGGGUAACCUGCCCAUCAGAAGGGGAUAACACUUGGAAACAGGUGCUAAUACCGUAUAACAAUCGAAACCGCAUGGUUUUGAUUUGAAAGGCGCUUUCGGGUGUCGCUGAUGGAUGGACCCGCGGUGCAUUAGCUAGUUGGUGAGGUAACGGCUCACCAAGGCUACGAUGCAUAGCCGACCUGAGAGGGUGAUCGGCCACAUUGGGACUGAGACACGGCCCAAACUCCUACGGGAGGCAGCAGUAGGGAAUCUUCGGCAAUGGACGAAAGUCUGACCGAGCAACGCCGCGUGAGUGAAGAAGGUUUUCGGAUCGUAAAACUCUGUUGUUAGAGAAGAACAAGGAUGAGAGUAACUGUUCAUCCCUUGACGGUAUCUAACCAGAAAGCCACGGCUAACUGCGUGCCAGCAGCCGCGGUAAUACGUAGGUGGCAAGCGUUGUCCGGAUUUAUUGGGCGUAAAGCGAGCGCAGGCGGUUUCUUAAGUCUGAUGUGAAAGCCCCCGGCUCAACCGGGGAGGGUCAUUGGAAACUGGGAGACUUGAGUGCAGAAGAGGAGAGUGGAAUUCCAUGUGUAGCGGUGAAAUGCGUAGAUAUAUGGAGGAACACCAGUGGCGAAGGCGGCUCUCUGGUCUGUAACUGACGCUGAGGCUCGAAAGCGUGGGGAGCAAACAGGAUUAGAUACCCUGGUAGUCCACGCCGUAAACGAUGAGUGCUAAGUGUUGGAGGGUUUCCGCCCUUCAGUGCUGCAGCUAACGCAUUAAGCACUCCGCCUGGGGAGUACGACCGCAAGGUUGAAACUCAAAGGAAUUGACGGGGGCCCGCACAAGCGGUGGAGCAUGUGGUUUAAUUCGAAGCAACGCGAAGAACCUUACCAGGUCUUGACAUCCUUUGACCACUCUAGAGAUAGAGCUUCCCCUUCGGGGGCAAAGUGACAGGUGGUGCAUGGUUGUCGUCAGCUCGUGUCGUGAGAUGUUGGGUUAAGUCCCGCAACGAGCGCAACCCUUAUUGUUAGUUGCCAUCAUUUAGUUGGGCACUCUAGCAAGACUGCCGGUGACAAACCGGAGGAAGGUGGGGAUGACGUCAAAUCAUCAUGCCCCUUAUGACCUGGGCUACACACGUGCUACAAUGGGAAGUACAACGAGUCGCGAAGUCGCGAGGCUAAGCUAAUCUCUUAAAGCUUCUCUCAGUUCGGAUUGUAGGCUGCAACUCGCCUACAUGAAGCCGGAAUCGCUAGUAAUCGCGGAUCAGCACGCCGCGGUGAAUACGUUCCCGGGCCUUGUACACACCGCCCGUCACACCACGAGAGUUUGUAACACCCGAAGUCGGUGAGGUAACCUUUUGGAGCCAGCCGCCUAAGGUGGGAU